AGAGGACACCCUUAACAGAAAAGUUAUUCAUUUCCAAUUUAAGACUCAUCAAGGGAUAAAAUCUGAAAACUUAUAAAGGAUACUUAUUACAGAAAAAAUUUAAGGGGAAACUGGUGCUGUGGAGAGACCCAUGUGGAAAGGAACUGAGGACUCCCGGCAAAAGUCACCAAGGACCGAGGUUGCUGACAGCUGCAUGUGAACUCGGAAGCAGAUCAAUCCUUGCCCAAGCCCACACUUUGUCUACAGCCUUGGUGAGAGACCCUGAGCCAGGGAUGCACAUCCAAGCUGCACCCAAACUCUUGACCCACAGAAACUGUGAGAUGAUGAAUGUGUUUAAGCCCCCAUAUUGUGGAGUCAUUUAUUACACAGCAAUAGAUGGC
rnacentral:lncRNA from 10 species